UACGUAGGGUGCGAGCGUUGUCCGGAAUUAUUGGGCGUAAAGAGCUCGUAGGCGGUUUGUCGCGUCGGCCGUGAAAACUUGGGGCUUAACCCCAAGCCUGCGGUCGAUACGGGCAGACUUGAGUUCGGCAGGGGAGACUGGAAUUCCUGGUGUAGCGGUGAAAUGCGCAGAUAUCAGGAGGAACACCGGUGGCGAAGGCGGGUCUCUGGGCAAUAACUGACGCUGAGGAGCGAAAGCGUGGGGAGCGAACAGG
rnacentral:rRNA from 1 species